rnacentral:rRNA from 1 species
AGUGAACGCUGGCGGUAGGCCUAACACAUGCAAGUCGAACGGCAGCACAGUAAGAGCUUGCUCUUACGGGUGGCGAGUGGCGGACGGGUGAGGAAUACAUCGGAAUCUACUUUUUCGUGGGGGAUAACGUAGGGAAACUUACGCUAAUACCGCAUACGACCUACGGGUGAAAGCAGGGGAUCUUCGGACCUUGCGCGAUUGAAUGAGCCGAUGUCGGAUUAGCUAGUUGGCGGGGUAAAGGCCCACCAAGGCGACGAUCCGUAGCUGGUCUGCGAGGAUGAUCAGCCACACUGGAACUGAGACACGGUCCAGACUCCUACGGGAGGCAGCAGUGGGGAAUAUUGGACAAUGGGGGCAAGCCUGAUCCAGCCAUACCGCGUGGGUGAAGAAGGCCUUCGGGUUGUAAAGCCCUUUUGUUGGGAAAGAAAAGCAGCAGGUUAAUACCCCGCUGUUCUGACGGUACCCAAAGAAUAAGCACCGGCUAACUUCGUG